rnacentral:rRNA from 1 species
UACGUAGGGAGCAAGCGUUGUUCGGAUUUACUGGGCGUAAAGGGCGCGUAGGCGGCAAAUUAAGUCAGCUGUGAAAUCUCCGAGCUUAACUCGGAACGGUCAGCUGAUACUGAUCUGCUAGAGUGCGGAAGGGGCAAUCGGAAUUCUUGGUGUAGCGGUGAAAUGCGUAGAUAUCAGGAGGAACACCUGUGGUGUAGACAGCUUACUGGACCACGACUGACGCUGAGACACGAAAGCGUGGGUAGCAAACAGG